rnacentral:rRNA from 1 species
AUUGAACGCUGGCGGAAGGCCUAACACAUGCAAGUCGAACGAGUGGCGGACGGGUGAGUAAUGUCUGGGGAACUGCCUGAUGGAGGGGGAUAACUACUGGAAACGGUAGCUAAUACCGCAUACCAUCAGAUGUGCCCAUAUGGGAUAAGCUAGUAGGUGGGGUAACGGAUCACCAAGGCGACGAUCCCUAGCUGGUCUGAGAGGAUGACCAGCCACACUGGAGCUGAGACACGGUCCAGACUCCUACGGGAGUCAGCAGUGGGGAAUAUUGCACAAUGGGCGCAAGCCUGAUGCAGCCAUGCCGCGUGUAUGAAGAAGGCCUUAGGGUUUUAAAGUACUUUCAGCGGGGAGGCGUUACCCGCAGAAGAAGCACCGGCUAACUCCGUGCCAGCAGCCGCGGUAAUAC